AGAUAGCUAGCUAAUCAACUAGUAACACUCAGCUUUGCUUUGAUUAUGAAGAUAUUCCUGUUUUU